CACGUAUUUAGCCGGAGCUUCUUAGUCAGGUACCGUCACUUUCUUCCCUGCUGAUAGGGCUUUACAUACCGAAAUACUUCUUCGCCCACGCGGCGUUGCUGCAUCAGGGUUCCCCCCCAUUGUGCAAUAUUCCCCACUGCUGCCUCCCGUAGGAGUCUGGGCCGUGUCUCAGUCCCAAUGUGGCCGUCCACUCUCUCAAGCCGGCUACUGAUCGCUGCCUUGGUAGGCCGUUACCCCGCAACUAGCUAAUCAGACGCGGGCCCAUCCUGUACCACCGGAGUUUUCCCCGCAGCGCCAUGCGGCACCGCGGGCUUAUGCGGUAUUAGCAGCCGUUUCCAGCUGUUGUCCCCCUGUACAGGGCAGGUUACCCACGCGUUACUCACCCGUCCGCCACUAGGCUGUAUGCUGCUUCCGCCCGAAAGCUUCCGCUGCAUACGCCCCGUUCGACUUGCUAUGUGUUAGGCACGCCGCCAGCGUUCAUCCUGACGCCAGGACUCAAACUCUCG
rnacentral:rRNA from 1 species